rnacentral:ncRNA from 2 species
AUUUCAUAGGUGGAAACAGGUUCCUUAGAGCGUAACCAACUCGCCACAAGGAUAAUAGGGAAGCUCGGUGCAAAUCCGACACGGUCCCGCCACUGUAAGAGGGGAGUCAGCGUCCAAAAAGCCACUGGUCUAUCAAAAUAGACGGGGAAGGCGACGCUAGGCGAUGAACCCAUAGUCAGGAGACCUGCCUGUUUCGACAACACUGA